rnacentral:lncRNA from 1 species
CUCUGCACAACGUGGGGGAAGGGGCAGAGGCCGCUGCGCCGCGGCUCCCCGCAUCGCAGUCGGUCUCCCCUCCCCCCCAUUGAAGCUCCGUCGAGUCCGAGCCCGCGGGCGGGAGGCAGAGGCCAGCUGGGGAAACCGAGGCACAGACUGUACCAAGGCGCACCAGGUGUUAGCACACUACGAAGAAGCCAAGUGAAAGCCUAUGAGGAGCGACCCGUCCGAGGCCAGGAUUUUCCCCAGGGCCUGGGUCCUGGGGAUCGGGGUUAGAUGAAAGGGUCCUGGGAUUCCGGAAGGCCUGAGCGCCCGCUGCCCCGACAGCUUCGCGGGGUGGAUUCAGCUGGAUCACCGCGAGGGUCCCCGAUCUCACGAAAUUAAUCGAGGAGUAAAGAUUACAUUUAACCUCUGCAGACAGCAAGACAGGGACCACUCUCCCUCCCAGCCUGGCGCCAGCUUGAACCCGAGGGCAUGUCAACAGGAGCCAGGAACUGGAGGCGAAGCAUCUUUCAUUUCCUCUGCGGCGGUGGAACAAGUGAGGUCUCUGAUUGCUAGGGUCUGGUUUUUCAAAAUCACAGCUUGUGGAGACCCAAAGGGGUUGGGGGGUACCCUGGAAUAUUCUUUUAUCUGCUCAACCUUGAGUCAGACUUGCAAUCAGCAUUUGAUCAGGAAACUUGGUCAGUUUCUCAAAAUGCAAAAUCAAUCACAGAUUUUACUUUUUUCCUUGGCAUUUCCUUGGGAUAGUCUCUGUUCUGGGAGUGAACGAUUAUAAACUAUUGUCUUAAAUUCUGUCCUGAUUAGCAUCUUUCCUCAAUUCAGGAUUUCCCUGGAGCCAGAUCUUUGCAGCUUCAGGAUUAUGACUUUUUUAAAAAUAUAAGUUUGAUGAAUUUUUAUCUGUUCCCUAAAUUAGAAACUCCCUUAAUUACAGGAGAAAACAUUUUCAAAGAAAAAGGGUAGACCUUUAGAGCAAGCCCUGGAGCAAUGCUUCUAAAGAAAAUCUCAGGGCAGAUAGGUCCUCAGAACCAAAUGAGAUCGUCUUUUCUGCAGCCCACCGUCUUUCAGUUAAUUCUUGAAAGAAUAAAAGAAAGUUGUUCAUCCUCCUGCAGAGGAUUCUGACUUGACAGAAAGCAUGGUCUUGGUUAAAUUGUUUUAAAAUUGGGCUUGGGCGACCAGAUGGUAGAUGAGGGGAAAUUUCUCUAUAAAAGUAUUUCCAGCUAAUAAAUGAAGAAAGAAUGAUAGCACAUCACCAUUUUGCAUCCCUAAUGAAUUAAUGGAUCUAGGCAUGAUCAGGUAUGGUUACUAACACCAUGGAAAAAGAGAACACACGUGAUGUGCUAAUGGAAAAAAAAAACUCCACACCAACUUUGAAGUUGUCUUGACACUCCUUGCAGCCCAGCCUGCCCCCCUAAAUCAAGCCUGCAUCGGGUCAAGCCUCAUCUGGAUCAACACUACCAUGAGAAACUAUCCACAUCUCAUGAAACUGCAAAUAACCCAGUUCUUCAAAUGAAUUGCAAGGAAAAUCAUUGCAUUUAGAUUCUAAAUCAAAUAAAAUCUAAGAAAAAGAAUGACAUUCAUAGGACACUUACGAAUUUGAACACUG